rnacentral:misc_RNA from 1 species
AAAAAAAAAAAAAAAAAAAAACAGUGCGGCAUCUUCUUUUCAGCAUGAUUAAUUUAUCUGAUUUGGAGGGCAAUUCACCAAAGCAUAUAACUUCCAUGGUCAUGCAGGAAAACUAAAAUUAUGCCUGAUUUCAUUUGACGUAUUGCAAAAGUUGAUUAAUAUAUUGUUUCUUCAACAUUGAAAUAAGGUGGUGGCACUUAGUUCAGAUGGAAAAAUACAGUAUCUUUAGAGAUGAGUUCAAAACAAUUCAUCUAAAUGAGAUGGGGAAGGGACCUUGCCCUUAUAAAGGAAAUAGUGGGGGGAUGAUGAUACCAAGGAUGGGAUUCAUCUUGUUGCAGGAAAUAUUUGUACACUUUGUUUCGAUGUCAUUUCUGUGUUCUGUUAGUUCUAAAGUUUCCAAAUUUAGUACAAAAAAUGUAGCAGGAAACCUUUUUGUAUCUUUUAUUUUAUUAAAAAGAUGAGUUCAACAAUCUCAUUGUCUGCAUCCUGUAUGAUUUGAAUCUAACAUUUUGUAAGUGAAUACAGCUUUGUUAAUGCACUAUUUUUGUUCUUGGCUCUUUAAUUCAUGCAAGUGUUUUUCAUUCAUCAGGUGUAACUCAAUUUGGAACUUCAAUAAUUAAUAUUUCCGACUUUCAUUUUUCGUGAAUGAUUGUAAUAAUAUAUAUUAAAUAUUUGAGUAGUGGUUGCCUUUGUUGCCCAAUUCACUAUUAGUAAUUUCUAGAAUAGUGAUUGAGUUGUGAAAAUCUUUCUUCUGGUGUUAUUAAGCUGUGAGCUCUUACCUUUUUAUAUUAGU